GACUUACCUGCAGAGCUCAUCAUGGCAGGUGAAGAACUAUGGAUCAGUGCAGGUUGGCCGGGCAUCUUCUCCCUCCAGAGGCUGAGCUACGGAUGACUCGGAACUGCCUUCAUCUAAGUCUUCAUAGUACCUCUGAGACAGGAAGGCUGACCGAGACAGGCUGGCUGCAGAAGGCCCACCCCAAAACAACAUUAGACAACUCAAAGCAAUCCCCAAAGCUGUGCCAUUUCAGUACUAAGAGAAACAGACCAUAAAGCACUUUCAUUAUUUUAUACUUAAGGUGGAAGCUGCUAUUGCUGAAUAUGAAUGAUAAUCUGUGGUCUUUGCUCAAAACUAAGUUUUGAAAACUAAGCUGCUAGGACAAAGACAGCUUUGACCAUCAGACAAGACUGAAAAUAAGAGUGAUAAUCUAUACUGGUAGAAAAACAAGAGAUUAAACUCUCACAGGAAAAAGACAGUAUCAGAGAGGUAGCAGGCCAGUCAGCCACAGCAUCACCCCUGCUUUCCAACCUCAGAACACCAGAGUGAGACGGCCUGA
rnacentral:lncRNA from 1 species